rnacentral:tRNA from 1 species
UUCGGUCGCAGGUUCGAGUCCUGCAAGGUCCAUAUAAUUUUGGAGGAAUACCCAAGUCCGGCUGAAGGGAUCGGU